rnacentral:rRNA from 1 species
UACGUAGGGUGCAAGCGUUGUCCGGAAUUACUGGGCGUAAAGCGUGCGCAGGCGGUUGUGCAAGUCCGUUGUGAAAUCCCCGGGCUCAACCUGGGAAUGGCAUUGGUGACUGCACGGCUAGAGUGUGUCAGAGGGGGGUAGAAUUCCACGUGUAGCAGUGAAAUGCGUAGAGAUGUGGAGGAAUACCGAUGGCGAAGGCAGCUCCCUGGGAUAACACUGACGCUCAUGCACGAAAGCGUGGGGAGCAAACAGG